GGGUGUAGCACAGUGGUAGUGUGCUAGCCUAACAAUGUGUGUGGCUCUUCCUGGGGUUAAUCUUCAGCACUGGAGAAAAAAGUUGUCAUUGAAAAAGAUGUCUGACAUUGAUUCCUUUAAAAAUACAAUGAUGGAGCAGGUGCUUAGCAUGCUGAAGGUCUUGGGUUCAGUCCCCAGCAACAAACA
rnacentral:tRNA from 1 species